UCUAUACUGUGUGCUGUGCACAGUACCUGGAGAAGGUUAAGAGAACAGAUCCUCAAAAGGCAGCUUUGAGGUCAAACUUCCACAUACUCUGAGUCUGCUUAAAGCAACACAGUGUAACUCCUUUGAGGAUUUGAAUUUGCCAUCAGCUUUCCAGACGUGUAACCCAGGAAAUAGAAGGCUGACUAUAGUAAAUAUAUCUAUCAUGACCACCUCCAACUUUGCUCAUGCCCCUUGGUAAGCCCUUCCUGUUAAUCCUCUCUGAUUACCCCACUGCUUCGGGCAACAAUUGAUCUGUUUUCUGUUACU
rnacentral:lncRNA from 13 species